GACGAACGCUGGCGGCGUGCCUAAUACAUGCAAGUAGAACGCUGAAGGAGGAGCUUGCUCUUCUGGAUGAGUUGCGAACGGGUGAGUAACGCUUAGGUAACCUGCCUGGUAGCGGGGGAUAACUAUUGGAAACGAUAGCUAAUACCGCAUAACAGUAGAUGUUGCAUGACAUUUACUUAAAAGGUGCAAUUGCAUCACUACCAGAUGGACCUGCGUUGUAUUAGCUAGUUGGUGGGGUAACGGCUCACCAAGGCGACGAUACAUAGCCGACCUGAGAGGGUGAUAGGCAAAGCUGGGACUGGGACACGGCCCAGAAUACUAGGGGAGGGAGCAGGAGGGAAUCAUCGGCAAAGGAAGGAAGUCGGAACGAGCAACGCCGGGUGAGUGAAGAAGGUUGUCGGAUCGUAAAGGUCAGUUGUAAGAGAAGAACGAGAGGGAGAGUGGAAAGUUCACACUGUGACGGUAUCUUAACAGAAAGGGACGGCUAACUACGUG
rnacentral:rRNA from 1 species